rnacentral:lncRNA from 1 species
CUCUGACAACUGCUACUCUUUAAGUGCCAAUUCAGGCAUUGCUUCCUCCAGGAAGCCUUCCUGCCAGACAGAGUUGGAUGCUCCCUUCUCUCUGUCCUCACAGCCCCCUUCAUGCUGUGAUCCCUCACGCGUCCUGCCAGGGGCAAGGAGAGGGGCUCACCUCCGCUGGCUGAACGCCACACUUCCACGGGGCACAGCCCGGGUCUCACUCUUUUUAGCAUCCUUAGUCCCUAGAACAGACCUGAAACAGAGUGAUGCACAGCCAAACAUCCCAAUUAUGACCUGGCGGGCUUGUCCGGAGGGUGACAGGAAGCCAGUUUCAUGGAGGGUUCAGCAUGGGGCACUGCCACAGGAAGUGUGCAAUAAAUGUCAGCUGUAUUAUUGCUAAACAUUUGCUGAGUAACAAGCAACGUCUACAACACCCUACAUCUCUUCUUACUAGCUGGUAGUUCAGAGCCACACUGGAUGAGAAAGGGGCCACAGAAGUGAGAUCGUUCUCCACUCCCCCUCACCCCGAAACCCAUGGAAAGGUUUCCAAGAGUAACUGGGGAGAGGAAAAUAAUUUUCUAACAUCCCUCCAUCUGUGCUUUUAUUGUCAAAUGCACAUGUCACACUUUUUGAAAUGCUCUCAGCAAGUGUGAACAGCCCUUUCUGCAGAAAAUAGUGAGUAUGUGGUGGGGGAGUGCAUAUAUGAGUGUGUGUGAGCGUGUGUAACCUCUAUCUGUUCUUCAACAAUUAAGUGGCCAAAAGCAGGUGGCUUCAAAGGUGAAUUAAUUCUCUGCUGGAAAAAUUGAGCUGUAAAAGUCUAGCGAUUGGGAACCUAGACUCUGCGGCAGCAGGAACAUGUUUCAGACGCCAAAGCCAGGAACUUGGACCCCGUUCUGGAACAGCCAGACGCACACAGCCCCGAGACGCCUUUCAGUGAGGCUGGAAAUGAGGCUAAAUUGCACAAAAGAUGGUGCUCUCACCACCAGCUCUCCCAAGACAGACCCUCCUCCAUGGCUGCUGACACUUCUUGUUCUCUGAGAGGCGCUCAUCCACCCUACAGCCUGACCAGUGUCCUCUGAGCUUCCUGGAAGAGGAGCAAAGAGCCCGGUCCCAACACUUCUCAGGUGCGCUUUCUAACACCAGGUUCCCAGAGACCUCCUGCUGUCCCAGUGCCUCCUGUCCUCUUGGUCUCUUUCCAGGGCUCAGCGCCCAACCUGCCUUGUCUCAACGGAGCCAAAGCAAGGCCUUCCUGGAGAGUCGUGUCAGUGGCCAUGAUGUGGCUGAAGGCUUGACAAGUGUUUGUGCAACAGGGCUUAUCCUGCUGUGCCUCCACCAUCACCAGGAGAAGAACUUGCCCAGGCUAGCCCAUUGGCCCAGGAGGAUGAGAGGCAUGUGGAGCAGAGCUGGACCACCUGGCAGAGCCCAGCCUAGACAGUCUGAUCCCUGGCAGAUCCCCAGACACAACCGAGAUGCAUGAGCCCAGCCAACAUCAGCUGAUCUCCAGCCAAUGCAAAGAUCCA